AAUUGAUCACUUGAUCCACGGAGGUCCACUUCUCUACUUCUAGGACUUCAGGGAUCUGCUGCUAAUGUCUUGGUCCAGAUACAACAGCACACCUUCAGAGGUCUGGUGGAGUCUAGGGCAUGGGUCAGAGCUGGUUUUGUGGAAAAACAGGUGAACCUAUACAAUAUUAGGCAGAUGGUAUUAAUGUUCUGCUGCAUUGGUUGAGAUCCGGUUGUCUUUUUGAUAAU